AAAAUUUGAGAAAUAAAUAAUGAUUAAUAAUUUUGGCAUUUGAUGUCAUUUUGGAGUAUUAGAGAAAUUAAGAGAAAAUAUUUACUUAUGUUAUUUUGAGAAAAUAAGUAAAUAAGAUAAUUAUUAAUUCUUGCAUUUAUGGAAAUUAUUAAUUUAUUUGGGAAUUUGGAGAUAUAAGAAAAAAUAAAUUAAUUUAAUGGAUUUUUGAAAGUUUUCGGGUGUAAGUGCAAUAAAGGAAAUUGGAGUCUGGGGUGUGUGUGCCAAUAAUGAAAGUUCUGGGGGCUGAAAUGUGAUUUGCCGAAGUGGCCGCAAAUCACCUUAAAUAUAAGUGAAGGCAUUAUAUGGUUAAAGGAGUCGGCUAGCGCGGGCGGUCGCGAGUGCUCGUGUGCUGGGUGAGGUCGCGGGUUCGAGCCCCCUCGGGUGUGCGCGCGCGCUGGAGAAUUUUGGCUGAUUUUUCAGCCAAAAUCCUUGCCCAAAACGGCGUCGUUUUGGGCAAGGCGGUGGCAGCCAUGUGCAGCUGCUGGGCGCGCCACGUGGCGCGCUGUGGGCCGCCCAUUUGCCUCGCGUUAAAGCAGCAUUUUUGCUGCGAUUUUAAGGCCGAUUUCGGCCAAAUUUGAGACAGAACCAGAGGAAGAAAAAUGAAGAAGAAGCAGCGCGCGCGAGGGUCAUUUUUUAGAGAAAAAUUGAAGAUUAAAUUACGUUUAAUCGUGAUUUAAUUAAUCAGCGUGUAUUAAUUUGGUGAUGUUUAAGCAUGGAAACGCUGUAAUCAGCUUAAGCGAGGCAAGUUCUCCUCUACCCUUGCGAUCUAUUUCCAUUUGGUGAAUCCCUUGUCUUCCCUUAAUUCGGUUUGAUUUUGCGUAUUAAUUAUACGAAUUAGGAAUGUUUUGGGCAUGAUUUAAUUUAAAAGAAAUAUGAGAUUUAUUGGGAUUUUAUUUACGGUGUGCCUACGUGGGAUUUUAGACGGUUAGAUUUAAUUAAUGCGAGCUACGGGUUUUAUUAAUCGUUCUUAAACGUUUUACUUCGCAGCGGGAGUGCAAGGAAAAGAAGAAACAGCCGUGUAAAGGCAAUGGCGGCGUGGGCCAUAGCAAGGGAGUCAGCUUUAACGACAGAGUCGGUGUGGUGUACAGGCAGUCUCGUCAAUCCCUAUCCACUCUGAUGUCUAGGUAGAAUUUACUCUAUUAUUUCGUACUGUGCCAGGUAUUUUCUUGAGUCUUGUGGAUGUCGGCACAGGAGUUUGUGUUUGUUUAUUUAUCUUGUGACCGCUGUGUUAGCGGGGUACCCAUAGUGCAUGCAUGUCUUGAGCUUUGCUUCCGCUGUUCUUAUUUUUUGUGUAUGCAUGCCGGGGUGGUCUUUGUCUGGUGUCUCAUUCUUUUCUCCUCCCGUAGGCGCUCCCGUUCGGGUUGUCCGGGUGGCUGGGAUAUCCGGGCGGGGGUGCUUACAAUGUUGGUAUCAGAGCAUUAUUUGAGUCAGUUUUGAGGGACGAGUUCCUGUACACCAAGGUUGUCGGGUAGAGUUAGGGAGGUCUAGAUGAAUUGAGGAGGGUCAGGCUGCGUCAAGUUGUGUUUUGCUGAUUCGUGUAAGAGAUCGUG